UGCACAUGGGUUAGUCGA
rnacentral:snRNA from 1 species